GUGAGGAAUCUUGCACAAUGGGGGCAACCCUGAUGCAGCGACGCCGCGUGCGGGAAGAAGGCCUUCGGGUCGUAAACCGCUUUUCUGGGGGAAGAGGAAGGACGGUACCCCAGGAAUAAGUCCCGGCUAACUACGUGCCAGCAGCCGCGGUAAAACGUAGGGGGCGAGCGUUAUCCGGAAUUACUGGGCGUAAAGGGCGUCUAGGCGGCACGCCAAGUCUCGCGUGAAAGCUCCCGGCUCAACUGGGAGAGGGCGCGGGAAACUGGCGAGCUAGAGACUCGGAGGGGGGUGUGGAAUUCCCGGUGGAGUGGUGAAAUGCGUUGAGAUCGGGAGGAACACCCGUGGCGAAGGCGGCACCCUGGCCGAGGUCUGACGCUGAAGCGCGACAGCGUGGGGAGCAAACGGGAUUAGAUACCCCUGUAGUCC
rnacentral:rRNA from 1 species